UCUGGAUUGCAUUCUAAAAGCACAAGUAAAAGUAAUGAAUUACUAUUACUCAUUCAACAUGUUUUGUUGAAAGAGCAUCAAAAUAGCUGAGCACUUCAAUGAAUUUUUUUUAAUUUAGCAUUUUUUUUUUUAGAGACAGAGACAGAGCACAAGCAGAAGAGGGGGCAGAGAGAGAGGAAGACACAGAAUUCAAAACAGGCUCUGAACUGUCAGCACAGAACCCAAAUCAGGGCUCGAACUCAAAAACCACAGGAUUGUGACCUGAGCGAUGCUUAACCAACUGAGCCACCCAGGCGCCCCGCUUUAAUGAAAUUUUAAAUGACAGCCUUCAAAGUGUACGUGAAUCUCAGAGACAGCAGCCAGCUCUUACCAAGUCCUCAGGCUUGAAACCUAAGUUUUAUUGUAAUUUGGCUUUGGAGGCUUUGUGUUCACUGGGUGAGAAUAUAAAAAGGACUUGGAAGACAAGUGUAAUGCAGUGAGGUCUGUGAAAGCAACAAAGGAAGCAGAAGUCAAACAGCUGAAGGAGAAAGCACGUAACCUGGAAGAAUUCUAUGAACAAAGAAAAGUGGCUACAGAGGAGUAAGAUGUUCACGUGACUGUCACAAGUACUGUCAUAUGAAUGAAUGUGGCAGCCAAGCAAGACUUGGAUCGAGGAGAGGGAGAUGGCAGAGCAGAGCAGGGAGGCCGCCUACUUGACAUACAGGUGUUGUAGUUUGACUUGCAGUUUUACGGUGUUUAGAGGGAUGACGUCCAUAGUUUGUUGUCUAGUAGAGGACGUGGUGUUGCAACUCUUAUAGAAGGCCAUUCUUUUUCUUUAUCCAGGACUGGAUGUGAUGGAAGGAAAGAGACUGCCUGAUGGAUACAUGAGGCAGAAACCAGUGCCUGGAAGACCAGAGGCACAGACCCUCCAAGGAGAGGUAAGGGGCACAUGGUGACGUGCAGCAGCCUAAUUUCUGCU
rnacentral:lncRNA from 1 species